UCAGGAUGAACGCUGGCGGCGUGCCUAAUACAUGCAAGUCGAACGAGUUCUGAUUAUUGAAAGGUGCUUGCAUCUUGAUUUUAAUUUUGAACGAGUGGCGGACGGGUGAGUAACACGUGGGUAACCUGCCCUUAAGUGGGGGAUAACAUUUGGAAACAGAUGCUAAUACCGCAUAAAUCCAAGAACCGCAUGGUUCUUGGCUGAAAGAUGGCGUAAGCUAUCGCUUUUGGAUGGACCCGCGGCGUAUUAGCUAGUUGGUGAGGUAACGGCUCACCAAGGCAAUGAUACGUAGCCGAACUGAGAGGUUGAUCGGCCACAUUGGGACUGAGACACGGCCCAAACUCCUACGGGAGGCAGCAGUAGGGAAUCUUCCACAAUGGACGCAAGUCUGAUGGAGCAACGCCGCGUGAGUGAAGAAGGCUUUCGGGUCGUAAAACUCUGUUGUUGGAGAAGAAUGGUCGGCAGAGUAACUGUUGUCGGCGUGACGGUAUCCAACCAGAAAGCCACGGCUAACUACGUGCCAGCAGCCGCGGUAAUACGUAGGUGGCAAGCGUUAUCCGGAUUUAUUGGGCGUAAAGCGAGCGCAGGCGGUUUUUUAAGUCUGAUGUGAAAGCCCUCGGCUUAACCGAGGAAGUGCAUCGGAAACUGGGAAACUUGAGUGCAGAAGAGGACAGUGGAACUCCAUGUGUAGCGGUGAAAUGCGUAGAUAUAUGGAAGAACACCAGUGGCGAAGGCGGCUGUCUGGUCUGUAACUGACGCUGAGGCUCGAAAGCAUGGGUAGCGAACAGGAUUAGAUACCCUGGUAGUCCAUGCCGUAAACGAUGAAUGCUAGGUGUUGGAGGGUUUCCGCCCUUCAGUGCCGCAGCUAACGCAUUAAGCAUUCCGCCUGGGGAGUACGACCGCAAGGUUGAAACUCAAAGGAAUUGACGGGGGCCCGCACAAGCGGUGGAGCAUGUGGUUUAAUUCGAAGCAACGCGAAGAACCUUACCAGGUCUUGACAUCUUUUGAUCACCUGAGAGAUCAGGUUUCCCCUUCGGGGGCAAAAUGACAGGUGGUGCAUGGUUGUCGUCAGCUCGUGUCGUGAGAUGUUGGGUUAAGUCCCGCAACGAGCGCAACCCUUAUGACUAGUUGCCAGCAUUUAGUUGGGCACUCUAGUAAGACUGCCGGUGACAAACCGGAGGAAGGUGGGGAUGACGUCAAAUCAUCAUGCCCCUUAUGACCUGGGCUACACACGUGCUACAAUGGAUGGUACAACGAGUUGCGAGACCGCGAGGUCAAGCUAAUCUCUUAAAGCCAUUCUCAGUUCGGACUGUAGGCUGCAACUCGCCUACACGAAGUCGGAAUCGCUAGUAAUCGCGGAUCAGCACGCCGCGGUGAAUACGUUCCCGGGCCUUGUACACACCGCCCGUCACACCAUGAGAGUUUGUAACACCCGAAGCCGGUGGCGUAACCCUUUUAGGGAGCGAGCCGUCUAAGGUGGGACAAAUGAUUAGGGUG
rnacentral:rRNA from 1 species